rnacentral:rRNA from 1 species
GUCCAGCAGGCGAGAAUUUUUCUCAAUGGGGGAAACCCUGAAGGAGCGACGCCGCGUGGAGGAUGAAGGUCUUCGGGUUGUAAACUCCUGUCAUUUGGGAACAAGGCGUACGUAUUUACUGUACGUAUGUUGAUAGUACCAGAAGAGGAAGAGACGGCUAACUCUGUGCCAGCAGCCGCGGUAAUACAGAGGUCUCAAGCGUUGUUCGGAUUCAUUGGGCGUAAAGGGUGCGUAGGUGGCGCGGUAAGUCGGGUGUGAAAUUUCGGGAGCUUAACUCCGAAACUGCAUUCGAUACUGCCGUGCUUGAGGACUGGAGAGGAGACUGGAAUUUACGGUGUAGCAGUGAAAUGCGUAGAUAUCGUAAGGAAGACCAGUGGCGAAGGCGGGUCUCUGGACAGUUCCUGACACUGAUGCACGAAGGCCAGGGGAGCGAAACGGGAUUAGGACUACCCCCGUAGUACCGUCCGUAGACGUAC